UUAAGUGAAUAAGGGCGCACGGUGGAUGCCUUGGCACUAGGAGCCGAUGAAGGACGGGACUAACACCGAUAUGCUUUGGGGAGCUGUACGUAAGCUAUGAUCCAGAGAUUUCCGAAUGGGGGAACCCAACAUCUUUAAUAGGAUGUUACGAUUGUGUGAAUACAUAGCACAUUCGAGGUAGACGCAGAGAACUGAAACAUCUAAGUACCUGCAGGAAGAGAAAGAAAAUUCGAUUCCCUGAGUAGCGGCGAGCGAAACGGGAAAAGCCCAAACCAGCAAGCUUGCUUGUUGGGGUUGUAGGACUCCAAUAUGGUAGUUCUUUCAGAUAGUCGAAUGACUUGGAAAAGUCAGUCAAAGAGGGUAAAAACCCCGUAGACGAAAUGUGGAAGACACCUAGGAGGAUCCUGAGUACGGCGGAACACGAGAAAUUCCGUCGGAAUCCGGGAGGACCAUCUCCCAAGGCUAAAUACUCCCUAGUGACCGAUAGUGAACCAGUACCGUGAGGGAAAGGUGAAAAGCACCCCGGAAGGGGAGUGAAAUAGAACCUGAAACCGUGUGCCUACAACAAGUCAAAGCCCGUUAAUGGGUGAUGGCGUGCCUUUUGUAGAAUGAACCGGCGAGUUACGAUUGCAUGCGAGGUUAAGUUGAAGAGACGGAGCCGCAGCGAAAGCGAGUCUGAAUAGGGCGUUUGAGUAUGUAGUCGUAGACCCGAAACCAUGUGAUCUACCCAUGUCCAGGUUGAAGGUGCGGUAAAACGCACUGGAGGACCGAACCCACGUACGUUGAAAAGUGCGGGGAUGAGGUGUGGGUAGCGGAGAAAUUCCAAACGAACUUGGAGAUAGCUGGUUCUCUCCGAAAUAGCUUUAGGGCUAGCCUCGGAAUUGAGAAUGAUGGAGGUAGAGCACUGUUUGGACUAGGGGCCCAUCUCGGGUUACCGAAUUCAGAUAAACUCCGAAUGCCAUUCAUUCAUAUCCGGGAGUCAGACUGUGAGUGAUAAGAUCCAUAGUCGAAAGGGAAACAGCCCAGACCACCAGCUAAGGUCCCAAAAUAUAUGUUAAGUGGAAAAGGAUGUGGGGUUGCACAGACAACUAGGAUGUUGGCUUAGAAGCAGCCACCAUUUAAAGAGUGCGUAAUAGCUCACUAGUCGAGUGACCCUGCGCCGAAAAUGUACCGGGGCUAAACAUAUUACCGAAGCUGUGGAGUACACCUUUAGGUGUAUUGGUAGGAGAGCGUUCUAAGGGCGUUGAAGGCAGAUCGUGAGGACUGCUGGAGCGCUUAGAAGUGAGAAUGCCGGUAUGAGUAGCGAAAGACAGGUGAGAAUCCUGUCCACCGAAUGACUAAGGUUUCCUGGAGAAGGCUCGUCCGCCCAGGGUUAGUCGGGACCUAAGCCGAGGCCGACAGGCGUAGGCGAUGGAUAACAGGUUGAUAUUCCUGUACCCGUUGUUUUUGUUUGAGCAAUGGAGGGACGCAGGAGGCUAAGGAAUGCAGACGAUCGGAAAUGUCUGUCCAAGCAGUAAGUCUGAAGAGGAGUCAAAUGCUUCUUUUCUUAAGGACAAGCUGUGAUGGGGAGGGAAAUAAUAGUACCGAAGUUCCUGAUGUCACACUGCCGAGAAAAGCUUCUAGUGAGAAAACAGCGGCCCGUACCGCAAACCGACACAGGUAGUCGAGGAGAGAAUCCUAAGGUGAGCGAGAGAACUCUCGUUAAGGAACUCGGCAAAAUGACCCCGUAACUUCGGGAGAAGGGGUGCUGAUCAUACGAUCAGCCGCAGUGAAUAGGCCCAAGCGACUGUUUAUCAAAAACACAGGUCUCUGCAAAAUCGUAAGAUGAAGUAUAGGGGCUGACGCCUGCCCGGUGCUGGAAGGUUAAGAGGAGUGCUUAGCGCAAGCGAAGGUACGAAUUGAAGCCCCAGUAAACGGCGGCCGUAACUAUAACGGUCCUAAGGUAGCGAAAUUCCUUGUCGGGUAAGUUCCGACCCGCACGAAAGGCGUAACGAUUUGGGCACUGUCUCAACGAGAGACUCGGUGAAAUUUUAGUACCUGUGAAGAUGCAGGUUACCCGCGACAGGACGGAAAGACCCCAUGGAGCUUUACUGUAGUUUGAUAUUGAGUGUCUGUACCGCAUGUACAGGAUAGGUAGGAGCCGUAGAAAUCGGAACGCUAGUUUCGAUGGAGGCGCUGGUGGGAUACUACCCCUGCGUUAUGGCCACUCUAACCCGCACCACUAAUCGUGGUGGGAGACAGUGUCAGAUGGGCAGUUUGACUGGGGCGGUCGCCUCCUAAAAGGUAACGGAGGCGCCCAAAGGUUCCCUCAGAAUGGUUGGAAAUCAUUCGAAGAGUGUAAAGGCAGAAGGGAGCUUGACUGCGAGACCAACAAGUCGAGCAGGGACGAAAGUCGGGCUUAGUGAUCCGGUGGUUCCGCAUGGAAGGGCCAUCGCUCAACGGAUAAAAGCUACCCUGGGGAUAACAGGCUUAUCUCCCCCAAGAGUCCACAUCGACGGGGAGGUUUGGCACCUCGAUGUCGGCUCGUCGCAUCCUGGGGCUGUAGUCGGUCCCAAGGGUUGGGCUGUUCGCCCAUUAAAGCGGCACGCGAGCUGGGUUCAGAACGUCGUGAGACAGUUCGGUCCCUAUCCGUCGCGGGCGUUGGAAAUUUGAGAGGAGCUGUCCUUAGUACGAGAGGACCGGGAUGGACUUACCGCUGGUGUACCAGUUGUUCUGCCAAGGGCAUUGCUGGGUAGCUAUGUAGGGAAGGGAUAAACGCUGAAAGCAUCUAAGUGUGAAGCCCACCUCAAGAUGAGAUUUCCCAUUUCUUUAAGAAAGUAAGAUCCCUGAGAGAUGAUCAGGUAGAUAGGUCAGGAGUGGAAGUACAGUGAUGUAUGGAGCGGACUGAUACUAAUCGAUCGAGGACUUAACC
rnacentral:rRNA from 1 species